CUUAUUUGUUCGUGAGAUUUCAUAGCAUUUACAAAUGAUAUGUUUGUGUAAUGCAAAAGCACGGUAUCUUUCCAAUCAUCAUUGAACUAGUGUUGUUUUGGUUCAGACUAGAGUUCGCGUGCUUCACGCUCUCUGGUCUGGAAGUUUGAGGCUAUGACUGGCAGUGAAGUUGGCCUCCUGAGCAACCAGUUGAUAUUCGGAUAGAGAGUCUGGACUGUCACAGAACUCUACUUACAUGGUCUUCUCGUUUGCCUAUCAAUCCUGAUAAACACGAAGCUGUCAGAAGGUUUAUUGUUCAUGUCAAAUAUGGGAACUACAGCGAAACACAAGAAAUGACUCUGCAUACAUUUGAUCGUGCCGGGUAUUCCAUCAUGCACUGUUGUCAAU